GUCUCUCUCUCUGCCCAGGCCUCCUCCCUACUGCUGAAAUGAUCUUUUUAAAUCUGAUUGUGUCAUUUCCCUGCUUACAGCCUCCAGUGCCUCCCCAUCUUAGCCAUGAGAACACUGUGAGCUCUUUGGCCUUCUGCUUAAGACCCUUCAUCCUCAUUAAAGACUUCCAUUGCCAGUUGUGUGCUGACAGCCCUCAUGGACGUCAUCGCUGAGAUGUCCCAGAUGCUGCAAAGCCAUUGGAUUUUGGAGAAGCUCGGUGAUGGCACCAGAUCAGCUCUUUCCACCUGCAGUGCCUCCUUCCUCCCUGCUAUCCAGAUGCCUCCUUCUUCCCCUCCCAACCCCCUACAUUCUGUUACCAAAUCCUAUAAAUUUUAUCUCCUAAGCCCUUCUUAUGUCUGUCCCCUCUUCUAAACAGGCUUUAUCUAGUCACCAGAGUAAUAUUCUACACUAUAGAUGCACCCUGAUUAAAAUCUUUUAAUGACUGGCCCCAUGGCCUCCAGGGAAUGGUCCUGGGUACCUGCUCUGAAUUCCCUAUGAGGCCCCCUGUACACACACCCCAUCUCUGUGCCCAUGACAGCUCUUCAUCUGGGCCUGCUUGGCAAACUCCUGCUUCUUUUACCAGUCUUGCCUCCAGAGCUACCUCCUUCCCACAGCAUCCCCCCCUCCCAGGUAGAAUGGUCCCCUCCUUCCAACUGUCAACCAUGGAACCAUGGAGGCUCCAUCUGCCUCACUUCCUUGGCCAGGACCAUGCUUGUCUUUUUUCCGUGCCACAGAGCCUGACACAGGGCAGUCCAGGAGGUUGGGCCCUUACCCACUGACGGGGGCUAUGCCUGCGGCAGUCAAGUCCCCCGCAGGGUGGCACCCAGCAAGUUCUCUGCUGCAGAGAGCCCCCAGGCUGAGAAGACAACAGGCAGAGGCGAGAGCAAGAGCGGAACCUCCAGGUGCGGGCAGGUAAACUUAGGUGGGCGGGGCGUCCAGGGCCGCGCGUCAUUGGCCGAUUGCACACCUGUGCUCUCAGUGCUCUUGUCCUCAGAGCUCACUCCCCUGUGAGUAUCUCCAGGAGGACUCCCAGAGGAGUCACACGCUUCCAUGCUCUGUUGGGCUCUUCCCCUCCACAGCAUUGUGACUCUCCACUCAGUCACCAUGACAGAUCUCCAUACCACCUUUGCUGUCGCCCAGAGGGCCCACCUGCCCACUCAGGACCACAUUGGCCACACCUGCUCACCUGGGCUGCUAGGGCCACUGCGCCAACCGUCCUAGGCCACUGCUUGCUGCUGCCUUUGGCUGACAUCAGUCCAGGAUGUGAGGGUGAUUGUUGUGGCCGGUGACUGCCCCCUUCGUCUGGGGGCUGGGGUGGAGGGCUGGUCAGCCGGGCAGGGUAGAGGACAGUUCAUUUUCCUCUGGCACUUGCCCCCUCACAGGGUCCAGGACACAGCUUUCUGAUCCUGCCAUGGCCCAUUUUUUCCCCAGGAUGACCCAGGUGCCAAGAUCUUAAAGUCACUCUCUGUCUCUGUCCCUAUCUCUCCCCAUUGGUUCUGUUUCUCUGAAGAACCCAGACUGAUACACAGCACAAAGGCCAAUUUAUUAAUUAAUUUAAGGCAUCUUUGUGUUCCUAAAUAUUUAUUAAGCACCUUGAACCGUGGUGGGCUCUGAAGAAGUAGCAGUGAGGCAGCCCCAUGCUGGCGCGUCUCCUCCUUGUCUCUGGCAUAAAUGUCAUCUCUCCAGAGGAGCCCUGUUGGACCUUUCCUGAAACUGAUUGCCCCACCCCAUUAUUAUUCUUUGUUUCAGCACCUUCAAAUCAUUAUUUUUAAAUUAUUUUAUUGAUAUCCUUUUGGGGGGGUUGGGAGAAAGGGUCUGUUUUCUCUUUAUUUAAUAGAACCUAAGUGCCAGGAGGGCCUUAGCUCAGAGGAGACCACAAAUGUUUGUUGCAUGGCAGAUGGAUGAAUGGAUAGGAGAUGCCGCUCCUUACUCUCAAGGCCCUCACAUCCAGUGGGUGGCUGGGGGGUGGGAGAUUGGGUUCAGGGCUCCCGACACCUGUAGGAGCCUUAAUGGAAGAUCUGAAGAGGUCUGCAUCCUGGUAAGCUCAGCAAAGUCUUCCCAUGUGGCCUGAAUGCCAAUCUGUACCCCAGCCAGUUGGCCAAAACUCUAUUUUUACUUUUUUAAAAGAUUUUAUUUAUUCAUGAGAGACACAGAGAGAGAGGCAGAGACAUAGGCAGAAGGAGAAGCAGGUUCCCCGUAGGGAGCCUAAUGAGGGACUCGAUCCCAGGGCCCCAGGAUUAGGACUUGAGCCAAAGGCAGAUGCUCAACCACUAAGCCACCCAGGUGUCCCAACACUCUAUUUUUAAAAGAAUCUGUUUUAUUUUAUUUUUAAAAGAUUUUAUUCAUUUAUUUAUGAGAGACACAGGCAGAGGCACAGGAGGAGGGAGGAGACUCCAUGCAGGGAGUCCGAUGUGGGACUCGAUCCUGGACUCCAGGAUCACGUCCUGACCCAAAGGCAGACACUCAACUGCUGAGCCACCCAGGCGUCCCUUAAAUGAAUAUAUUUUAAAAACAAUUUUAUUGAGGUUUAAUUUACAUACAAUAAACUGCAAUCAUUUUAAGUUCCA
ensembl:lncRNA